AACGCACGAGACCUGCGGACCUGCGGAGGGAUCAUUACCGAGUUUACAACUCCCAAACCCAAUGUGAACCAUACCAAACUGUUGCCUCGGCGGGGUCACGCCCCGGGUGCGUCGCAGCCCCGGAACCAGGCGCCCGCCGGAGGGACCAACCAAACUCUUUCUGUAGUCCCCUCGCGGACGUUAUUUCUUACAGCUCUGAGCAAAAAUUCAAAAUGAAUCAAAACUUUUAACAACGGAUCU
rnacentral:misc_RNA from 1 species